GGGCCGGUAGCUCAGCCUGGAAGAGCGCUCGGUUUGCACCCGAGAGGCCCCGGGUUCAAAUCCCGGCCGGUCCACCA
rnacentral:tRNA from 2 species